rnacentral:tRNA from 1 species
UCCCAGGUGGCUCAGUGUAAAGAAACUGCCUGCCAAUGCAGGAGACAUGGGUUCAAUUCCUGGCCUGGGAA